GAUGAACGCUGGCGGCGUGCCUAAUACAUGCAAGUCGAGCGAACGGACGAGAAGCUUGCUUCUCUGAUGUUAGCGGCGGACGGGUGAGUAACACGUGGAUAACCUACCUAUAAGACUGGGAUAACUUCGGGAAACCGGAGCUAAUACCGGAUAAUAUUUUGAACCGCAUGGUUCAAAAGUGAAAGACGGUCUUGCUGUCACUUAUAGAUGGAUCCGCGCUGCAUUAGCUAGUUGGUAAGGUAACGGCUUACCAAGGCAACGAUGCAUAGCCGACCUGAGAGGGUGAUCGGCCACACUGGAACUGAGACACGGUCCAGACUCCUACGGGAGGCAGCAGUAGGGAAUCUUCCGCAAUGGGCGAAAGCCUGACGGAGCAACGCCGCGUGAGUGAUGAAGGUCUUCGGAUCGUAAAACUCUGUUAUUAGGGAAGAACAUAUGUGUAAGUAACUGUGCACAUCUUGACGGUACCUAAUCAGAAAGCCACGGCUAACUACGUGCCAGCAGCCGCGGUAAUAUGUAGGUGGCAAGCGUUAUCCGGAAUUAUUGGGCGUAAAGCGCGCGUAGGCGGUUUUUUAAGUCUGAUGUGAAAGCCCACGGCUCAACCGUGGAGGGUCAUUGGAAACUGGAAAACUUGAGUGCAGAAGAGGAAAGUGGAAUUCCAUGUGUAGCGGUGAAAUGCGCAGAGAUAUGGAGGAACACCAGUGGCGAAGGCGACUUUCUGGUCUGUAACUGACGCUGAUGUGCGAAAGCGUGGGGAUCAAACAGGAUUAGAUACCCUGGUAGUCCACGCCGUAGACGAUGAGUGCUAAGUGUUAGGGGGUUUCCGCCCCUUAGUGCUGCAGCUAACGCAUUAAGCACUCCGCCUGGGGAGUACGACCGCAAGGUUGAAACUCAAAGGAAUUGACGGGGACCCGCACAAGCGGUGGAGCAUGUGGUUUAAUUCGAAGCAACGCGAAGAACCUUACCAAAUCUUGACAUCCUUUGACAACUCUAGAGAUAGAGCCUUCCCCUUCGGGGGACAAAGUGACAGGUGGUGCAUGGUUGUCGUCAGCUCGUGUCGUGAGAUGUUGGGUUAAGUCCCGCAACGAGCGCAACCCUUAAGCUUAGUUGCCAUCAUUAAGUUGGGCACUCUAAGUUGACUGCCGGUGACAAACCGGAGGAAGGUGGGGAUGACGUCAAAUCAUCAUGCCCCUUAUGAUUUGGGCUACACACGUGCUACAAUGGACAAUACAAAGGGCAGCGAAACCGCGAGGUCAAGCAAAUCCCAUAAAGUUGUUCUCAGUUCGGAUUGUAGUCUGCAGCUCGACUACAUGAAGCUGGAAUCGCUAGUAAUCGUAGAUCAGCAUGCUACGGUGAAUACGUUCCCGGGUCU
rnacentral:rRNA from 1 species